rnacentral:rRNA from 1 species
CGCCUGGGGAGUACGGCCGCAAGGUUAAAACUCAAAUGAAUUGACGGGGGCCCGCACAAGCGGUGGAGCAUGUGGUUUAAUUCGACGCAACGCGAAGAACCUUACCUGGCCUUGACAUGCAGAGAAUUUUCCAGAGAUGGAUUGGUGCCUUCGGGAACUCUGACACAGGUGCUGCAUGGCCGUCGUCAGCUCGUGUCGUGAGAUGUUGGGUUAAGUCCCGUAACGAGCGCAACCCCUAUCCCUAGUUGCUAGCAGUUCGGCUGAGAACUCUAGGGAGACUGCCGGUGACAAACCGGAGGAAGGUGGGGAUGACGUCAGGUCAUCAUGGCCCUUACGGCCAGGGCUACACACGUGCUACAAUGGUGCGCACAGAGGGCUGCAAACCCGCGAGGGGGAGCCAAUCUCACAAAACGCAUCGUAGUCCGGAUCGCAGUCUGCAACUCGACUGCGUGAAGUCGGAAUCGCUAGUAAUCGUGAAUCAGAAUGUCACGGUGAAUACGUUCCCGGGCCUUGUACACACCGCCCGUCACACCAUGGGAGUGGAUUGCACCAGAAGUGGUUAGUCUAACCUUCGGGAGGACGAUCACCACGGUGUGGUUCAUGACUGGGGUGAAGUCGUAACAAGGUAACCGUA